GCCCGUAGAGCGCCCUCAAUGCUAAAACCCAGCCUUUGCUAUUGUUAACUUAAUGGUGUCUGCUUCUCCGAGGAACAGCAAGAUGGUGAAGGCUGUUAGCCCUUGUCCCAGCAAUACCUGCGACUUGCACUGGAGAAAUCUAGUAUCACUCCAUGUGCAUUAAGUGUCAGAGCACGUAUAAUACAGCCCACAUAUUGAGGAUGGCUAAUUUAUCAUGCACUUGAU